AAUCAACGCUGGCGGCGUGCCUAACACAUGCAAGUCGAACGAGAAGGUGACUUCGGUCACUGGAUAGUGGCGUCCGGGUGAGUAACACGUAGGUAAUCUACCUUCGGGUGGGGAAUAACGUCUCGAAGAGACGCUAAUACCGCAUAAUGCAGCGGCACCUAAUGGUGAUUAGUUGUUAAAGCGGGGAGUCUUCGGACCUCGCGCCUGAAGAGGAGCCUGCGGCAGAUUAGCUAGUUGGUGAGGUAAUGGCUCGACCAAGGCUUCGAUCUGUAGCUGGUCUGAGAGGACGGCCAGCCACACUGGCGACUGACACACGGGCCAGACUCCUACGGGAGGCAGCAGUGGGAAUUUUGGGCAAUGGGCGAAAGCCUGACCCAGCAACGCCGCGUGAA
rnacentral:rRNA from 1 species